AUUGAACGCUGGCGGCAUGCCUAACACAUGCAAGUCGAACGGAGAUAGGGGCAACCUUAUUUCAGUGGCGGACGGGUGAGGAAUGCGUCGGAAUCUGCCCUAUGGUGGGGGAUAACACAGGGAAACUUGUGCUAAUACCGCAUAAUGUCGAGAGACCAAAGCAGGGGACCGCAAGGCCUUGCGCGAUAGGAUGAGCCGACGCCCGAUUAGCUUGUUGGUAGGGUAAUGGCCUACCAAGGCGACGAUCGGUAGCUGGUCUGAGAGGAUGAUCAGCCACACUGGGACUGAGACACGGCCCAGACUCCUACGGGAGGCAGCAGUGGGGAAUAUUGGACAAUGGGCGCAAGCCUGAUCCAGCAAUGCCGCGUGUGUGAAGAAGGCCUGCGGGUUGUAAAGCACUUUCAGUGGGGAAGAACAGGUUCGGGUCAAUACCCCGGAGCCCUGACGUUACCCACAGAAGAAGCACCGGCUAACUCCGUGCCAGCA
rnacentral:rRNA from 1 species